rnacentral:rRNA from 1 species
GACAGCAGUCGCCGCGGGAAUACGGAGGGUGCAAGCGUUAAUCGGAAUUACUGGGCGUAAAGCGCACGCAGGCGGUCUGACAAGUCAGAUGUGAAAUCCCCGGGCUUAACCUGGGAACUGCAUUUGAAACUGUCAGGCUGGAGUCUUGUAGAGGGGGGUGGAAUUCCAGGUGUAGCGGUGAAAUGCGUAGAGAUCUGGAGGAAUACCGGUGGCGAAGGCGGCCCCCUGGACAAAGACUGACGCUCAGGUGCGAAAGCGUGGGGAGCAAACAGGAUUAGAUACCCGCGUAGUCCCUGUCUCUUAUAA